AUUGAACGCUGGCGGCAUGCUUUACACAUGCAAGUCGAACGGUAACGGGCCGCAAGGUGCUGACGAGUGGCGAACGGGUGAGUAAUGCAUCGGAACGUGCCCAGUCGUGGGGGAUAACUACUCGAAAGAGUAGCUAAUACCGCAUACGAUCUAUGGAUGAAAGCGGGGGACCGUAAGGCCUCGCGCGAUUGGAGCGGCCGAUGUCAGAUUAGGUAGUUGGUGGGGUAAAGGCUCACCAAGCCAACGAUCUGUAGCUGGUCUGAGAGGACGACCGGCCACACUGGGACUGAGACACGGCCCAGACUCCUACGGGAGGCAGCAGUGGGGAAUUUUGGACAAUGGGCGCAAGCCUGAUCCAGCAAUGCCGCGUGCAGGAAGAAGGCCUUCGGGUUGUAAACUGCUUUUGUACGGAACGAAACGGCUCUGGUUAAUACCCGGGGCUAAUGACGGUACCGUAAGAAUAGGCACCGGCUAACUACGUG
rnacentral:rRNA from 1 species